rnacentral:rRNA from 1 species
UACGUAGGGUGCGAGCGUUAAUCGGAAUUACUGGGCGUAAAGCGUGCGCAGGCGGUUUGUAAGUCAGAUGUGAAAUCCCCGGGCUCAACCUGGGAACUGCGUUUGAAACUACAAGGCUAGAGUGUAGCAGAGGGGGGUAGAAUUCCACGUGUAGCAGUGAAAUGCGUAGAGAUGUGGAGGAAUACCAAUGGCGAAGGCAGCCCCCUGGGUUAACACUGACG